UACGUAGGCAGCAAGCGUUGUUCGGAAUUACUGGGCGUAAAGAGUGUGUAGGCGGUGCUCUAAGUCUGUCGUGAAAUCUCCCGGCUUAACUGGGAGGGUGCGGCGGAAACUGGAGUGCUAGAGGGUGGGAGAGGAAAGCGGAAUUCCUGGUGUAGCGGUGAAAUGCGUAGAUAUCAGGAGGAACGCCUGCGGUGUAGACAGCUUUCUGGACCACUUCUGACGCUGAGACACGAAAGCGUGGGUAGCAAACAGG
rnacentral:rRNA from 1 species